CCUACGGGAGGCACCAGUAGGGAAUCUUCCACAAUGGACGAAAGUCUGAUGGAGCAACGCCGCGUGAGUGAUGAAGGUUUUCGGAUCGUAAAACUCUGUUGUAAGGGAAGAACAAGUGCGUUAGGUAACGAACGCACCUUGACGGUACCUUAUUAGAAAGCCACGGCUAACUACGUGCCAGCAGCCGCGGUAAUACGUAGGUGGCAAGCGUUGUCCGGAUUUAUUGGGCGUAAAGCGCGCGCAGGUGGUUUCUUAAGUCUGAUGUGAAAGCCCGCGGCUCAACCGUGGAGGGUCAUUGGAAACUGGGAGACUUGAGUGCAGAAGAGGAUAGUGGAAUUCCAGGUGUCGCGGUGAAAUGCGUAGAGAUUUGGAGGAACAUCAGUGGCGAAGGCGACUGUCUGGUCUGUAACUGACACUGAGGCGCGAAAGCGUGGGGAGCAAACAGGAUUAGAUACCCGCGUAGUC
rnacentral:rRNA from 1 species